UAUAGGAGUUGUAGAAGUUUUUUGGAGUGCCAGAUUGUGAUAGUCAUGAGCCAAGAUUAAGCUUAGUGCUUCCUCUUUGUUUUCUUUGUUUCUUUGUUGUUGAAGAGUAACGGAUAAUUUUCGAAUACUGAGAAAUGAGUCUGUGGAAUAAAUUAGAGAUUGAUUUAUGAGUUAUUGAUUAUGUAAUUGGAAUAUUGAGUCAUUAAAUUAUAUGAGAAGUUAUUGGAAGAUUGAUUAUGGAUAGAAAAUUAUGAUUAUUUUUUAUUGAGAGUUGUGUGUCUUUUGGAUAGAAGAAGUCUGUGAUUACAGAAAUUUUGUGAAUCUAGAUUGGUUGGUGUGAAUUCUAUUAUUCGUGGUGUUAGAUGGAAUUUAUGAAUUUUGAGCAGUCUUUUAAGAGUGCAAGAUUGCUCACUGUUGUUAUCAAUUGAUGAAGGAG
rnacentral:lncRNA from 1 species